rnacentral:rRNA from 1 species
GAUGAACGCUGGCGGCGUGCCUAAUACAUGCAAGUCGAACGAAGAAUGUAGCAAUACGUUCUGAGUGGCGAACGGGUGAGUAACGCGUUGGUGACCUGCCCCAAAGUGUGGGAUAACAGCCCGAAAGGACUGCUAAUACCACAUGUAGUCACCGGGAUUAGAUGCCCGGUGACCAAAGGAGUAAUUCGCUUUGGGAGGGACCUGCGUCCCAUCAGCUAGUUGGUAAGGUAACGGCUUACCAAGGCUUCGACGGGUAGGGGACCUGAGAGGGUGGCCCCCCACAAUGGAACUGAAACACGGUCCAUACACCUACGGGUGGCAG